CCUGGCUCACGUUGAACGCUAGCGACAGGCUUAACACAUGCAAGUCGAGGGUCAGCAUGGUUUGUAGUAAUACAGAUUGAUGGCGACCGGCGCACGGGUGAGUAACGCGUAUGCAACUUACCUAUCAGAGGGGGAUAGCCCGGCGAAAGUCGGAUUAAUACCCCAUAAAACAGGGGUCCCGCAUGGGAAUAUUUGUUAAAGAUUCAUCGCUGAUAGAUAGGCAUGCGUUCCAUUAGGCAGUUGGCGGGGUAACGGCCCACCAAACCGACGAUGGAUAGGGGUUCUGAGAGGAAGGUCCCCCACAUUGGUACUGAGACACGGACCAAACUCCUACGGGAGGCAGCAGUGAGGAAUAUUGGUCAAUGGCCGAGAGGCUGAACCAGCCAAGUCGCGUGAAGGAAGAAGGAUCUAUGGUUUGUAAACUUCUUUUAUAGGGGAAUAAAGUGGAGGACGUGUCUUUUUUGUAUGUACCCUAUGAAUAAGCAUCGGCUAACUCCGUGCCAGCAGCCGCGGUAAUACGGAGGAUGCGAGCGUUAUCCGGAUUUAUUGGGUUUACAGGGUGCGUAGGUGGUGAUUUAAGUCAGCGGUGAAAGUUGUGGGCUCAACCAUAAAAUGCCGUUGAAACUGGGUUACUGGAGUGUGUUUGAGGUAGGCGGAAUGCGUGGUGUAGCGGUGAAAUGCAUAGAUAUCACGCAGAACUCCGAUUGCGAAGGCAGCUUACUAAACCAUAACUGACACUGAAGCACGAAAGCGUGGGGAUCAAACAGGAUUAGAUACCCUGGUAGUCCACGCAGUAAACGAUGAUUACUAGGAGUUUGCGAUACAAUGUAAGCUCUACAGCGAAAGCGUUAAGUAAUCCACCUGGGGAGUACGCCGGCAACGGUGAAACUCAAAGGAAUUGACGGGGGCCCGCACAAGCGGAGGAACAUGUGGUUUAAUUCGAUGAUACGCGAGGAACCUUACCCGGGUUUGAACGUAGUCUGACCGGAGUGGAAACACUCUUUCUAGCAAUAGCAGAUUACGAGGUGCUGCAUGGUUGUCGUCAGCUCGUGCCGUGAGGUGUCGGCUUAAGUGCCAUAACGAGCGCAACCCUUAUCACUAGUUACUAACAGGUGAAGCUGAGGACUCUGGUGAGACUGCCAGCGUAAGCUGUGAGGAAGGUGGGGAUGACGUCAAAUCAGCACGGCCCUUACAUCCGGGGCGACACACGUGUUACAAUGGCAUGGACAAAGGGCAGCUACCUGGUGACAGGAUGCUAAUCUCCAAACCAUGUCUCAGUUCGGAUCGGAGUCUGCAACUCGACUCCGUGAAGCUGGAUUCGCUAGUAAUCGCGCAUCAGCCAUGGCGCGGUGAAUACGUUCCCGGGCCUUGUACACACCG
rnacentral:rRNA from 1 species